rnacentral:rRNA from 1 species
UACGUAGGUGGCAAGCGUUGUCCGGAAUUACUGGGUGUAAAGCGCGUGUAGGCGGCAGACCAAGUCGGCGGUGAAAGCGCCCGGCUCAACUGGGCGAGGUCCGUGGAAACCGGUCAGCUGGAGGACGGUAGAGGCGAGUGGAAUUCCCGGUGUAGUGGUGAAAUGCGUAGAGAUCGGGAGGAACACCUGUGGCGAAGGCGGCUCGCUGGGCCGGUCCUGACGCUGAGGCGCGAAAGCGUGGGGAGCAAACAGG